AUUGAACGCUGGCGGCAUGCCUUACACAUGCAAGUCGAACGGUAACAGGUCUUCGGAUGCUGACGAGUGGCGAACGGGUGAGUAAUACAUCGGAACGUGCCUAGUAGUGGGGGAUAACUACUCGAAAGAGUGGCUAAUACCGCAUGAGAUCUACGGAUGAAAGCAGGGGAUCGCAAGACCUUGUGCUACUAGAGCGGCCGAUGGCAGAUUAGGUAGUUGGUGGGAUAAAAGCUUACCAAGCCGACGAUCUGUAGCUGGCCUGAGAGGACGAUCAGCCACACUGGGACUGAGACACGGCCCAGACUCCUACGGGAGGCAGCAGUGGGGAAUUUUGGGCAAUGGGCGCAAGCCUGAUCCAGCAAUGCCGCGUGCAGGAUGAAGGCCUUCGGGUUGUAAACUGCUUUUGUACGGAACGAAAAGCCCCGGGUUAAUACCCUGGGGUCAUGACGGUACCGUAAGAAUAAGCACCGGCUAACUACGUGCCAGCCGCCGCCGUAA
rnacentral:rRNA from 1 species